ACUCCUACGGGAGGCAGCAGUGGGAAUAUUGGACAAUGGGGGAAACCCUGAUCCAGCCAUGCCGCGUGUGUGAAGAAGGCCUUCGGGUUGUAAAGCACUUUUCAGUGGGGAGGAAAGGUUGAUGGUUAAUACCUAUCAGCUGUGACGUUACCCACAGAAGAAGCACCGGCUAACUCCGUGCCAGCAGCCGCGGUAAUACGGAGGGGUUAGCGUUGUUCGGAAUUACUGGGCGUAAAGCGCACGUAGGCGGAUCGGAAAGUUGGGGGUGAAAUCCCGGGGCUCAACCCCGGAACGGCCUCCAAAACUAUCGGUCUAGAGUUCGAGAGAGGUGAGUGGAAUUCCGAGUGUAGAGGUGAAAUUCGUAGAUAUUCGGAGGAACACCAGUGGCGAAGGCGGCUCACUGGCUCGAUACUGACGCUGAGGUGCGAAAGUGUGGGGGAGCAAACAGGAUUAGAUACCCUGGUAGGCUCUGCU
rnacentral:rRNA from 1 species